rnacentral:rRNA from 1 species
GACGAACGCUGGCGGCGUGCUUAACACAUGCCAGUCGAACGGAAAGGCCCUGCUUUUGUGGGGUGCUCGAGUGGCGAACGGGUGAGUAACACGUGAGUAACCUGCCCUUGACUUUGGGAUAACUUCAGGAAACUGGGGCUAAUACCGGAUAGGAGCUCCUGCUGCAUGGUGGGGGUUGGAAAGUUUCGGCGGUUGGGGAUGGACUCGCGGCUUAUCAGCUUGUUGGUGGGGUAGUGGCUUACCAAGGCUUUGACGGGUAGCCGGCCUGGGAGGGUGACCGGCCACAAUGGGACUGAGAUACGGCCCAGACUCCUACGGGAGGCAGCAGUGGGGAAUAUUGCACAAUGGGCGGAAGCCUGAUGCAGCAACGCCGCGUGCGGGAUGACGGCCUUCGGGUUGUAAACCGCUUUCGCCUGUGACGAAGCGUGAGUGACGGUAAUGGGUAAAGAAGCACCGGCUAACUACGUG